rfam:Cavia porcellus supercont2_61 genomic scaffold, whole genome shotgun sequence.
AUAACUUCUAGGCCUUUUGGCUAAGAUGAAGUGUAGUGACAUCGUAUUUCCCAGGUACAUCCAUUCUCGGGCUUUAUAAGCAUUGUUGUAGUAUGAUGUCUCAGGCUCUUGAGGAGGACAUCUAGCUGGAGGAUGCAUCUCAGGGUUACAUGGGAUUUUAAUUUCAGUUCUUUGAGAAGUCUUCAUAUU